rnacentral:misc_RNA from 1 species
GAAAUGCGAUAAGUAAUGUGAAUUGCAGAAUUCAGUUAAUCAUCGAAUCUUUGAACGCACCUUGCGCUCCUUGGUAUUCCUUGGAGCAUGCCUGUUUGAGUAUCAUGAAAUCUUCAAAGUAAAUCUUUUGUUAACUCAAUUGGUUUCUACUUUGGUAUUGGAGGUCUUUGCAGCUUCACACCUGCUCCUCUUUGUUCAUUAGCUGGAUCUCAGUGUUAUGCUUGGUUCCACUCGGCGUGAUAAGUUAUCUAUCGCUGAGGACACUGUAAAAGGUGGCCAAGGUAAAUGCAGAUGAACCGCUUCUAAUAGUCCAUUGACUUGGACAAUACUUUUAUGAUCUGAUCUCAAAUCAGGUAGGACUACCCGCUGAACUUAAGC